GGUUAAGCGACUAAGCGUACACGGUGGAUGCCCUGGCAGUCAGAGGCGAUGAAGGACGUGCUAAUCUGCGAUAAGCGUCGGUAAGGUGAUAUGAACCGUUAUAACCGGCGAUUUCCGAAUGGGGAAACCCAGUGUGUUUCGACACACUAUCAUUAACUGAAUCCAUAGGUUAAUGAGGCGAACCGGGGGAACUGAAACAUCUAAGUACCCCGAGGAAAAGAAAUCAACCGAGAUUCCCCCAGUAGCGGCGAGCGAACGGGGAGGAGCCCAGAGCCUGAAUCAGUAUGUGUGUUAGUGGAAGCGUCUGGAAAGGCGCGCGAUACAGGGUGACAGCCCCGUACACAAAAAUGCACAUGCUGUGAGCUCGAUGAGUAGGGCGGGACACGUGGUAUCCUGUCUGAAUAUGGGGGGACCAUCCUCCAAGGCUAAAUACUCCUGACUGACCGAUAGUGAACCAGUACCGUGAGGGAAAGGCGAAAAGAACCCCGGCGAGGGGAGUGAAAAAGAACCUGAAACCGUGUACGUACAAGCAGUGGGAGCACGCUUAGGCGUGUGACUGCGUACCUUUUGUAUAAUGGGUCAGCGACUUAUAUUCUGUAGCAAGGUUAACCGAAUAGGGGAGCCGAAGGGAAACCGAGUCUUAACUGGGCGUUAAGUUGCAGGGUAUAGACCCGAAACCCGGUGAUCUAGCCAUGGGCAGGUUGAAGGUUGGGUAACACUAACUGGAGGACCGAACCGACUAAUGUUGAAAAAUUAGCGGAUGACUUGUGGCUGGGGGUGAAAGGCCAAUCAAACCGGGAGAUAGCUGGUUCUCCCCGAAAGCUAUUUAGGUAGCGCCUCGUGAAUUCAUCUCCGGGGGUAGAGCACUGUUUCGGCAAGGGGGUCAUCCCGACUUACCAACCCGAUGCAAACUGCGAAUACCGGAGAAUGUUAUCACGGGAGACACACGGCGGGUGCUAACGUCCGUCGUGAAGAGGGAAACAACCCAGACCGCCAGCUAAGGUCCCAAAGUCAUGGUUAAGUGGGAAACGAUGUGGGAAGGCCCAGACAGCCAGGAUGUUGGCUUAGAAGCAGCCAUCAUUUAAAGAAAGCGUAAUAGCUCACUGGUCGAGUCGGCCUGCGCGGAAGAUGUAACGGGGCUAAACCAUGCACCGAAGCUGCGGCAGCGACGCUUAUGCGUUGUUGGGUAGGGGAGCGUUCUGUAAGCCUGUGAAGGUGUACUGUGAGGUAUGCUGGAGGUAUCAGAAGUGCGAAUGCUGACAUAAGUAACGAUAAAGCGGGUGAAAAGCCCGCUCGCCGGAAGACCAAGGGUUCCUGUCCAACGUUAAUCGGGGCAGGGUGAGUCGACCCCUAAGGCGAGGCCGAAAGGCGUAGUCGAUGGGAAACAGGUUAAUAUUCCUGUACUUGGUGUUACUGCGAAGGGGGGACGGAGAAGGCUAUGUUGGCCGGGCGACGGUUGUCCCGGUUUAAGCGUGUAGGCUGGUUUUCCAGGCAAAUCCGGAAAAUCAAGGCUGAGGCGUGAUGACGAGGCACUACGGUGCUGAAGCAACAAAUGCCCUGCUUCCAGGAAAAGCCUCUAAGCAUCAGGUAACAUCAAAUCGUACCCCAAACCGACACAGGUGGUCAGGUAGAGAAUACCAAGGCGCUUGAGAGAACUCGGGUGAAGGAACUAGGCAAAAUGGUGCCGUAACUUCGGGAGAAGGCACGCUGAUAUGUAGGUGAAGUCCCUCGCGGAUGGAGCUGAAAUCAGUCGAAGAUACCAGCUGGCUGCAACUGUUUAUUAAAAACACAGCACUGUGCAAACACGAAAGUGGACGUAUACGGUGUGACGCCUGCCCGGUGCCGGAAGGUUAAUUGAUGGGGUCAGCGCAAGCGAAGCUCUUGAUCGAAGCCCCGGUAAACGGCGGCCGUAACUAUAACGGUCCUAAGGUAGCGAAAUUCCUUGUCGGGUAAGUUCCGACCUGCACGAAUGGCGUAAUGAUGGCCAGGCUGUCUCCACCCGAGACUCAGUGAAAUUGAACUCGCUGUGAAGAUGCAGUGUACCCGCGGCAAGACGGAAAGACCCCGUGAACCUUUACUAUAGCUUGACACUGAACAUUGAGCCUUGAUGUGUAGGAUAGGUGGGAGGCUUUGAAGUGUGGACGCCAGUCUGCAUGGAGCCGACCUUGAAAUACCACCCUUUAAUGUUUGAUGUUCUAACGUUGACCCGUAAUCCGGGUUGCGGACAGUGUCUGGUGGGUAGUUUGACUGGGGCGGUCUCCUCCUAAAGAGUAACGGAGGAGCACGAAGGUUGGCUAAUCCUGGUCGGACAUCAGGAGGUUAGUGCAAUGGCAUAAGCCAGCUUGACUGCGAGCGUGACGGCGCGAGCAGGUGCGAAAGCAGGUCAUAGUGAUCCGGUGGUUCUGAAUGGAAGGGCCAUCGCUCAACGGAUAAAAGGUACUCCGGGGAUAACAGGCUGAUACCGCCCAAGAGUUCAUAUCGACGGCGGUGUUUGGCACCUCGAUGUCGGCUCAUCACAUCCUGGGGCUGAAGUAGGUCCCAAGGGUAUGGCUGUUCGCCAUUUAAAGUGGUACGCGAGCUGGGUUUAGAACGUCGUGAGACAGUUCGGUCCCUAUCUGCCGUGGGCGCUGGAGAACUGAGGGGGGCUGCUCCUAGUACGAGAGGACCGGAGUGGACGCAUCACUGGUGUUCGGGUUGUCAUGCCAAUGGCACUGCCCGGUAGCUAAAUGCGGAAGAGAUAAGUGCUGAAAGCAUCUAAGCACGAAACUUGCCCCGAGAUGAGUUCUCCCUGACUCCUUGAGAGUCCUGAAGGAACGUUGAAGACGACGACGUUGAUAGGCCGGGUGUGUAAGCGCAGCGAUGCGUUGAGCUAACCGGUACUAAUGAACCGUGAGGCUUAACCUU
rnacentral:rRNA from 1 species